GUUUGAGAACGAGGAGCCGUUCAGGUUGCAGCAUACAUCCCAUACUCGUAAAACGUGUGCUGCAGAUGAGAGGCUGUUUAUCGUAGCGGAAUCUUGUUUAAGAGAGCUGCUAUCAGUGUGUCCUUCAUGCCAGCGAGAUGAUGUUGAAGCUGAUAUCACUCUCAAGGGCACCUGUGUAAGAGCAAAGAUGACUUGCGGUUGCCAAAAAGAAAGGCUGUGGUACAGCCAGCCAUGGGUGGGCAAUAGGCCACUGGGGAAUGUUUUGCUGUGCUGCGGGAUACUUUUCUCUGGUACAAACAUUGCCAAAGCCCUCCGGAUGCUGAAAAUUAUGGGAGUCCCAGCACUCAGGAGGUCCCAGUUCUACAAAACGCAGCAAUGUUAUUUGUUUCCUGCAGUAAACAAUGUAUACGAGACGAAGCAGCAACAACUGCUGGAGGAGCUGCGCCCAGUGCCUUUAACA